AACCAUAGAAACCUGCGGAGUACCUGCGGAAGGAUCAUUUCUGGGUUAAAUCUACAAACUUGGGGUCCUUGGACCCUCAAGUAGCUAACAAAACACCUGUUGAACACCACAUUUGUCUGAUUUCAUUGUGUAAUUAUAAAACUUUCAACAAUGGAUCU
rnacentral:misc_RNA from 1 species